GACGUCUUACAGCUGCAGUCUGCAGACAAGAGUUCCAGAAGUAUCACUGGUUUGUUUUGCAGACGUUCUCUCUAGCCUGUACACUGCCAGAACAGAAGAGAUGCAUAAAAAAGCUGAAGGAAGGAAGAAAACACAAGGGUUACCUCCGGGUCACUGGACAUGCAGAGCUUGCAGAUUUCUCAAUUAUACACGGCCUUGGCAAUAGUGCAUACUGGGUAACACGCCAUAGUUCCAGACAUGAUCUGAGAGAAGCGCGUAGAGGUAUUCGGAUCACCUGAUCAAAUUUAUGAACCCAGCGUAAAGCGCCCUGUGGUCACUUGUGGGAUCGAGAGACGCCAGUAGUGGCACUCUGUGAUGGGGAUUCCUCUCUAAUAGUGGACACUCUUGGUGCACAUGCUGGUGCUUUGAAAUAUACAGGCUUGAUUUUAUACCCAUUAUAUAAAGUGUGGUUUUAAUAUGUGCAUUGGCUUGUUGUUAAUAAACUACACUUGAUCUGUU